AUUGAACGCUGGCGGCAUGCCUUACACAUGCAAGUCGAACGGCAGCGGACCUUCGGGUGCCGGCGAGUGGCGAACGGGUGAGUAAUAUAUCGGAACGUACCUUUCAGUGGGGGAUAACGUAGCGAAAGUUACGCUAAUACCGCAUAUUCUGUGAGCAGGAAAGCAGGGGAUCGCAAGACCUUGCGCUGAUUGAGCGGCCGAUAUCAGAUUAGCUAGUUGGUGAGGUAAAGGCUCACCAAGGCGACGAUCUGUAGCGGGUCUGAGAGGAUGAUCCGCCACACUGGAACUGAGACACGGUCCAGACUCCUACGGGAGGCAGCAGUGGGGAAUUUUGGACAAUGGGCGCAAGCCUGAUCCAGCCAUGCCGCGUGAGUGAAGAAGGCCUCGGUUGUAAGACUCUUCGUCCGGACGAAGUACGCACAGUUAAGUACCUACGUGUGGA
rnacentral:rRNA from 1 species